UACGAAGGGGGCUAGCGUUACUCGGAAUUACUGGGCGUAAAGGGCGCGUAGGCGGCUUUUCAAGUCGGACGUGAAAUUCCUGGGCUCAACCUGGGGACUGCGUUCGAGACUGUUGGGCUGGAGGAUGGAAGAGGGUCGUGGAAUUCCCAGUGUAGAGGUGAAAUUCGUAGAUAUUGGGAAGAACGCCGGUGGCGAAGGCGGCGACCUGGUCCAUUACUGACGCUGAGGCGCGACAGCGUGGGGAGCAAACAGG
rnacentral:rRNA from 1 species